UUCACCUGAUGAUUUAUAAGUUUCUCUAAAUUCGCAGUGACCCCCCUACCAAUGCCGAAAGGCUGCUGUAGGUUAGAGCCGCGUCUGAU
rnacentral:snoRNA from 1 species